AGAGUUUGAUCAUGGCUCAGAUUGAACGCUGGCGGCAGGCCUAACACAUGCAAGUCGAGCGGCAGCGAGAAGAAGCUUGCUUCUUUGCCGGCGAGCGGCAGACGGGUGGGUAAUGCCUGGGGAUCUGCCCGAUGSCGGGGGAUAACUACUGGAAACGGUAGCUAAUACCACAUAAUGUCGCAAGACCAAAGUGGGGGACCGUCGGGCCUCACACCAUCGGAUGAACCCAGAUGGGAUUAGCUAGUAGGUGGGGUAAUGGCUCACCUAGGCGACGAUCCCUAGCUGGUCUGAGAGGAUGACCAGCCACACUAAAACUGAGACACGGUCCAGACUCCUACGGGAGGCAGCAGUGGGGAAUAUUGCGCAAUGGGGGAAACCCUGAUGCAGCCAUGCCGCGUGUGUGAAGAAGGCCUUCGGGUUGUAAAGCACUUUCAGCGGGGAGGAAGACGACAGCGUUAACAGCGCUGUCAAUUGACGUUACCCGCAGAAGAAGCACCGGCUAACUCCGUGCCAGCAGCCGUGGUAAUACGGAGGGUGCAAGCGUUAAUCGGAAUUACUGGGCGUAAAGCGUACGCAGGCGGUCUGUUAAGUCAGAUGUGAAAUCCCCGGGCUUAACCUGGGAACUGCAUUUGAAACUGGCAGGCUAGAGUCUCGUAGAGGGGGGUAGAAUUCCAGGUGUAGCGGUGAAAUGCGUAGAGAUCUGGAGGAAUACCGGUGGCGAAGGCGGCCCCCUGGACGAAGACUGACGCUUCAGGUACGAAAGCGCAGGGAGCAAACAAGAUUAGAUACCCUGGUGUAGUCCACGCUGUAAACGAUGUCAAUUAAGUGCGUCGUAGUCCGGAUUGGAGUCUGCAACUCGACUCCAUGAAGUCGGAAUCGCUAGUAAUCGUGGAGCAGAAUGCCACGGUGAAUACGUUCCCGGGCCUUGUACACACCGCCCGUCACACCAUGGGAGUGGGUUGCAAAAGAAGUAGGUAGCUUAACCUUCAGGAGGGCGCUUACCACUUUGUGAUUCAUGACCGGGGUGAAGUCGUAACAAGGUAGCCGUAG
rnacentral:rRNA from 1 species